rnacentral:rRNA from 1 species
AACGAACGCUGGCGGCAUGCCUAACACAUGCAAGUCGAACGAGACCUUCGGGUCUUGUGGCGCACGGGUGCGUAACGCGUGGGAACCUGCCCUUAGGUUCGGUAUACCUCCCCGAAAGGGGUGCUAAUACCGGAUAAUGUCUUCGGACCAAAGAUCUAUCGCCUUUGGAUGGGCCCGCGUUGGAUUAGCUAGUUGGUAGGGUAAAAGCCUACCAAGGCGACGAUCCAUAGCUGGUCUGAGAGGAUGAUCAGCCACACUGGGGCUGAGACACGGCCCAGACUCCUACGGGAGGGAGCAGUGGGGAAUAUUGGACGAUGGGCGAAGGCCUGAUCCAGCAAUGCCGCGUAAGUGAUGAAGGCCUUAGGGUUGUAAAGCUCUUUUACCCGGGAUGAUAAUGACGGUAACGGGAGAAUAAGCUCCGGCUAACUCCGUG